rnacentral:lncRNA from 1 species
UUUUAUCCAGGAUGGUGCAUGUGAUUUGGGCGAAACUGUUUUGCCAACUCAGGGAAGUGAGAACAUGACUGAUGAAGAUGCUGUUCAAAGUCCUGGUGAUGAUAGACUAGAGACUUCAAAUACCGAUCAUGUCAAAGAAGAGAAAAAGGAUGGAUGUGAACAUAACUCAAGCGAAAUGUCAGGUGUGCAUAAAGAAGAGAACACAAUUCAUGUUCAGGAAAGAGAUAUCAGUGGGCAACUUCUCACAAAAAAGGGCACUGAAGAAGCAACACAAGCUUCAUUUGAAAGUGAUCCUCAGGGAGCACAAGAUGUCACAAAAGAAGAUGAUACCACAGAAGAUGGUGAGCAAACUAGUGAUCUUAACAAGCAACCUGAUGAUGUAGCACUUCAACUGCAAACAUGUGAGGCAGAUGCUUUAUCCAUUGGGAGACAAGAUGAGGUUGUGCAAAAGGUUGACUUGGAUCAACAACAGAAAAAAGAUGAGGAGAUUGAAAAUCAGAAGGAAGAAAUUCAGGCAGAUGAACAGAAACAUGAGGACAAGGGGGAUGAUUUCACCAUGGAACCACUUGUGGAGCCCGAUGAUAUCGAAAAUGGUGCCAAAAAUAGAACAGAAGACACUGAUGUAUGUGAGGUAAAUACCACUCUAGGACUCAUUGCAUGUGUUACCUUUUCAGGAUUUCUUGAGUUAGAAACUCACAAAGAGUAAAUUCAUACUCAAUGCAAUCUUUGCAGGCUGAACAAACAGAGGCACUCAUUACUGAAAUUCUUAAGCAUGAAGAAGCCCCACAUGUAUCUGAAGAAUCCACCCCAAGUAGCACGGAUAUGGAGGUUGACAAUGUUAAGGGAACAGAUGAAGGAACAGAAGAAGAUUCUGGUGCUAAAAAUGAUAAUAAAGAUGAGAAGGAGAGUGCAGAAAAUAAUGACAUAGUAGCAAACGAUUCUACUGAUGAACAUGAUGAAACAAUUUAUGAAAUUAAUAAUGAAGAGGUCAGUUCAGAGUUUCCAUCAAUGAAGUGUGAGAAAUUAGAUCUACAUUCUUUUGUUAAUAUCAUCUGAAAAAUGUUCUUUUGUUAAUCAUAUUGGUGUUGGAUUCCCAAAGAUCAAAUUAACUUUCCAAAUUAGAAAUGUAGAGAAAAAAUAAAGAAAGCAUGGCGAACAAUGAGCCAGAACCUUCCUUAUUGUUGGUCCAUCGCGUCACCAUCUUGAGAAAGCUCCGGGAAACGCCAGCGACUACUCUUAGUACAUCAAAUUAUUAUGUGGGAUCACUAUUAAGUAGAAGUAAAAGUAAUAUAGGAGUAAAUAUAUAAGAAUGGCAUUUACAGAGACCAAAGAACAAUGCAGCAAUUAUUUGUUAAUAGCCUCUAAUUAGUCAUUACCCAUACUAAAAGCACUGCUACAUUUACUCAUUUUGCAGGUUGAACCUGGUUUGGCAUCCUCUGGUCAAGAAGCAUCUGAACCGGCUCCUUCAAAUGAUGCUAUACUAGAGAAUGUAAGAUCUAAUUGACUGAAUAUUCCUCUAAAACAAUUGACUGAACACUGCCAAUGAUGUUUUGAAAGCAAUAUGUGGUAACCAUUCCAAACUCCAAAGGUGCAUUUUUUUUGGAGUCGGUUUUCCUGUCUUUUUUAAAAGAAAUAUAAGCAGACUCCCAUAAGAAAAUUUUAAAGUGAUAGACAUAAUAAUAUUGGUAUACAGGUAAAAACAAAAUAACAAGAAAACAAAGAGUGGGGUUUAGUUUUGCAGCCCAUACAAAAAAAAAUCUUCGCUGCAUCACCACAUGCAACUUCAGUGGCAUUCAUCACUAAAUUUUUUGUAGUUUCCAAUGGUCAGAUGGCUCUUCAAUUAGGUCAUGAUGCAUCUGCAGUUCGAGAAACAUCCAUAACAGUAAUUCUGACACCAUAAUAAUCUCAGGAGCUACUAUAUUUGCUGUGCAGGAUUCUGCAGCUGUUACUCAGAAUGUUGAAUCAGGAGAGCAUAGGGAGGAUAAAGAAUGCACAGACAAGGUUAAUGAUGAUGUCCACACCAUUCAAGCAUCGGAGAAAGAGAUUGCAGGUGAAAUAAAUGAGAAUAAAGAAAUUCAAAAUGAAGACAAUGCUAUCCAUCAUGAUGAAUCACAGACAAAAUCUGAAAAGGAUGAGGCGCCUCAACUGCAUGCCAGUGAACCAUGCAACAUGGAUGCCAAAAUUGAUGAUACAACAACUCCAGGCAAAGAAAUAAUCGAUGGUAAUGCAAGUAUAAAGCCCAGAGAAAUUGAAGAGAUUGGAGAAAACAAGGGACUCGACUCCACUUCCAAACCUUUUGUAGAAUCAUCCAUACAGAACAAUGUUGAGCAGGACUUAAGCAUUCAUCACAAGGUCAGUACUAAUAUCCUUAACAUGUACCAGUCUUAUACGGGUCCAAAUUCGUUUUUCUUGUCAAAUCUUCUCUUAGUAAAAUUCUAUGCCAUUUUUUUCCUGCAAUCAGGUUGAAGACGAAAAUCUUUCAAUGAUGGAGCAAAAUGAUGUAGAUAUUGAAGCUAUGCAAGAAAAAGCUGAUGAAUCUGCCUCAGAUAUAAAUCUAACCAAGCAAUGUCAGGAAGAAAUUAGUGAAGAUGAUGUUCAGCAACUUGAAAUAGAAGAAAGUUCAUUUGACAAAAUUGAUGAAACCGUUUCACAUGAGAAAACAGAGACAAGCACCACUGAAGCGGUAAUAGUCAAUGACACCAUCACCAAUAAGGUCAGUAAGUGAGAGAAAUCAAUGAAUAUUGGAGUUACAUUCUGUAUUGCUAAUCUAAUUUUCCAUUUCCCAUGUAGGCUAGUGGAGACGAUGGUGAACCAUCUGAUGGAAGUCUCAAAACCUUUAAUGACACUGGAAGGGAUCUUGAUGUUUCAUCUGUAAUUACAGCAUCAAAGGAAGAAAGUGUGAAUGAGAAUAUGGAAGACCAUAAGCUUGCUCUUCCUGCGCAUACUGCACAGGACGAAAACACCCCUGCGCAUCAAGAGAAGACGGAAAGAGAGAUGCCUUCAUCAGAGAAGCCCCUUCCUACUGAACCAGAAGAGAAUCAAAUUCCCAAUGAAAUAAAUGAAGGGGAGUUACAGGAUGAAAAUCAAAUUCCCAAUGAAAAGAAUGAACAGGACAUUCAAGAUACAGAAAUUGAAGAUGCUCAGAAUGAUGUUGAACCAGAUUUACCUGUUUCUCAUUUUCUGAUGAAUUUAAUAUUAGGAAAAAAGAACGGUGUUGCAGAUGAAAAUUCAGAACCUGGGGCUGAAGGGAAGCAAGGAGAAACAACAGAAGACGAUAGCUGCGUGCUCAUUUCUAAAGAAGAAGAAAGUGUGGGGCCACUUUGCACAGAAAAUAAGGUGGAUGACAAUCUCACCUUUGAACAAGAAAAACAUGAUGCCAAAUGCUCCGAAGAAACACAGGAAAUGGUCAAAGAACAAAGUGAUGAUCUUAAGCUGGACACAGAAAGAUCACUACAUACUGAUGAAGAGUCCAAUAAGAACACUCAAGGCAAUCCCCAAGACAAAAUUUCUGAUGAACUGUUAUCAGAAGAAGCAGCUAGUGUUUCUACAAAUAUGAAAGCGAGAGAUAUUGAGAUUUCGAACUUUGAGCUGGAUGAUAAAGCAGUUGAUACUGUCUGUCAGGAAGACACGGAGGAGUCAACAAAAGUUGAAAAUGAGAGCUUGAAGAGCAACAUAAAUGAUUUAACAAAUACAGAGGCUUCGGAAGAGGAUACUCUAGGGGAACAACAAACAGGACUCUUGCAUGAAUCUUUACCUGAAGAUAAUAGUGCUGAUGCAGUGUCCGCGCCCUUGCUGAUAGAAUCAGGUGUGGUUGAUGCAAAAGAUUCAUCUUAUGAUGCUGAGGCUGCCCAGAACCUUACCUGUGCAAAAGAAGAUGAUCCCACUGAAUCUUCCAUCAUUGAGGCAACAAGUAGUCCUCAUAUUCAACUGGAGUGUGAAGAAGUAGAGAAGAAAGAAGAGGAGCAGCAUGCAAGCAAGGGCACAGAAAACGUUCCCAAAGAAGCUGUAGAAAGUUCAAAUGACAAUCCUCAGAAAAGCACAAGCUCUGAAGUAACACCUCAUGAGCAAGAACCUCAUAUAACGGAACCAGUUAGUGACACUGAGAAGAUUUUGGCUCCUGAAAAGGAAAUUUGUGAAGGCUCAACAUGCAUGGAUGAGAAAGAAAACUCUAACUUCUCAAUUAAAGGAGUAGAAAACUUUCAAACAGAAGUUGAAAUUCAGGCUGACAGUCCAAACAUGCAGAUCAACCAAGAUAAGAAAGAUGAAGUUGCUGACAACAAAACUGCAAUGGGACCAGAAAAGCUAGGGGAAUAUGAUUUUCAGGAGCAGCAGGAAACUGAUAGGAAACAUGAAGUUGCUGACAACAAAACUGCAAUGGGCCCAGAAAAACUAGGGGAAUCUGAUUUUCAGGAGCAGCAGGAAACUGAUACUGAGCAAAAGUCUCCUAAAGUGAGUGAUGAAGGAGACCAGCAAUUUUUGGUCAAAAAAGAGACCAUGAUCAAAGAACAGGUUGUGCCUGGAACAGUUGAAAGCCAUGAGCAAACAGUGAGUAUAAAAUCUAACGAAAAGCAAGAACUGUUUGAUUCAAAGGUCCAGGAACGUGAUCUCAAUGUAGUUUCACCCAGAGAAGCUUCUGAGGCUGAAGAAAACUUUGUGGGCGUAACCAAGCCAGAAUUCAGCACAGAUGAAGAGCAAAGUCCAAAGGCUGAUGCAGAUGAGAAAACUUAUGAUGAGAAGAUAAAGGACGUAGAGGGAACUAAGGAUUUCACUGAUGGAGCAGCAACGAAAACUGAAGCACCAGGAGCAACAAAGAAGGCACCUAAAAAACUCAACCUAUUGUCUGGCGUUGGAUCAAAGGUAAAGCACCAACUAGCAAAGGUGAAGAAAGCCAUCGUAGGUAAGCCUGGGAACACAAAACCAGACUCACCAAAGUCAUAGUGAUGCAUUCACCUUAGAGCAUGUAUAUUAUUGUAAUGUUUGUACUUUGUGAGCUAUUCAUUUGAGUGGUAGAAUGUUAGCGACGGGACAGGAGAAGCUCCUCUUCACAACCAUCGCGUUGAAAUAUUCCUGUGAUGCUGAAGACGUUUGUAAAUAUGUCAUAGCGUGUAAAUCUAAGUUUCCAUGGUAUUGUUUCAUGGAACUUUAAGGUAGAGUCAAGGGCAUGGACCUGGUGGAUUGCUUGUAUUCUUUAUUGAUAUAUGCACAUGCAUUUUUGUGGUCAUGAUGCGGUACAUUCUUCAUUUUCCUAGAAAAACAUGUUCUGUCACUCUGUGUCUUGCUCCUGUUCUGACCCUCAAUCAGAUCAUGCUGGUGGAAACUAGAACCAAGCAGGCAAGAAAUGACAAUUCAGUUUUACAUUUAGCAGUAACUAUAAACAGGUCCUGGUGUUCAACAGAGUCCCAAAUGUUGGUGGGCAAAAUUCAGUCCAAGGAGCGUGGAGAUGAGAUAUACAGUAGAUACCUUGGUGUGAAGACCGAACGCGAGGCAACUUUCUAUGUCGCGGAUCGCCGCAGCUUGACAUCUCGCGCUGAAUCCGCACCGCGUUGCGGACCAGACCGCACGUCGCGGACUCUGCAGCAUCCAGGGCCGCCUCGCCGUGCGCGCGCGGGGCGGAGAUGGGCGAGCGUCGAGCAGGCGGUGGGCACGCCGCGCGCGGAGGCGGCGGCGAUUUCGAGUUCUCGA